rnacentral:rRNA from 2 species
UUGACCUCGGAUCAGGUAGGGAUACCCGCUGAACUUAAGCAUAUCAAUAAGCGAGGAA